GGCAACGGAUAUCUCGGCUCUUGCAUCGAUGAAGAACGUAGCGAAAUGCGAUACUUGGUGUGAAUUGCAGAAUCCCGUGAACCAUCGAGUCUUUGAACGCAAGUUGCGCCCGAAACCUUUUUGGUCGAGGGCACGUCUGCCUGGGCGUCACAC
rnacentral:rRNA from 10 species